GACGGGUGAGUAACGCGUGGGCAACCUGGCCUGUACAGGGGGAUAACACUUAGAAAUAGGUGCUAAUACCGCAUAACGGGGGAAGCCGCAUGGCUUUUCCCUGAAAACUCCGGUGGUACAGGAUGGGCCCGCGUCUGAUUAGCCAGUUGGCAGGGUAACGGCCUACCAAAGCGACGAUCAGUAGCCGGCCUGAGAGGGCGGACGGCCACACUGGGACUGAGACACGGCCCAGACUCCUACGGGAGGCAGCAGUGGGGGAUAUUGCACAAUGGGGGGAACCCUGAUGCAGCGACGCCGCGUGGGUGAAGAAGCGCCUCGGCGCGUAAAGCCCUGUCAGCAGGGAAGAAAAUGACGGUACCUGAAGAAGAAGCCCCGGCUAACUACGUGCCAGCAGCCGCGGUAAUACGUAGGGGGCAAGCGUUAUCCGGAUUUACUGGGUGUAAAGGGGGCGCAGACGGCGAUGCAAGCCAGGAGUGAAAGCCCGGGGCCCAACCCCGGGACUGC
rnacentral:rRNA from 1 species